UACGGGGGGGGGCAAGCGUUGUUCAGAUUACUGGGCGUAAAGGGUCUGUAGGUGGCUUGCUUAGUCAGACGUGAAAUCCCUCGGCUUAACCGGGGAACUGCGUCUGAUACUGGAUGGCUUGAGUGUGGGAGAGGAGAGUGGAAUUCCCGGUGUAGCGGUGAAAUGCGUAGAUAUCGUAAGGAAGACCAGUGGCGAAGGGCGGGGUCUCUGGACAGUUCCUGACGCUGAGGCACGAAGGCCAGGGGAGCAAACGGG
rnacentral:rRNA from 1 species